rnacentral:lncRNA from 1 species
AACUAAAACAUUGCUAUUUAUUUAUUAGGACAAUUGUUUAUAUAUUUCUGAAAAAAUUUUGACUUUUUAAUUUACCUUUCUUAGAAGGUUAUUAUUGAAAAUAUUUUUUUAUAUUCCAACCUAUUUUAAAUUUGGUAAAAAAAUAAUAUUUGUAACCAUAAAAAAAAAUUUAUGAAAUAUGACUAUAUUUUACUGUCUAGAUUACUAAAUUUUAUAGACAGAACCAAACAUAGUAACACUAUAAACACUGCAAUCUAACAUUAUAUUACUGUAUUAAACCAAACAAACUAAUAUAGCAUCAGUAGUAAUCUCAUUUAGAAAUUUAAGAUACCUGGAUAUAUUGAAAUACUCUGUAAUAUUACAUAAUUCGAACCAAACGCGCUCUAAAGUUAAAUUCUGUUAGUAAUAAUUAUUAUCUGUAUAAAAUUACUAUUUUGUCCUUUCAAGUAUAUUCUUUUACCGUCACCGAUUUUUUUUAUUUGUCCAUAAGUCAGAGGCAAAAAAAAUAUUUUAAUUUUUAAUUUUUAAUUUUUUUUAAAUAUACCUUUUUGUAAUUACCAAUAUUUUUUAUUUGCCAUAAAGUUUAGAGCAAAAAAAAAUAUUUUAAUUUUUUUUAACUCUAGUGAAAAUUUAACUCAUGUUUAACUUGAACAAAUUUCGGACACGAUAUC